UGUCAUGUGGGAAUCGAUAAGCGUAUAAAAAUUUAUCCUUUAUUUACAAAGACCCACAAAGUCACAUGCUCGUUUUAUCAUCAGAUGAGCUCCAUCUGUAAUCGGAAAAAUCAUCUAAAGCCCGGCAAACUAUAUCAAAUCUGCAGUGAAGCCUCCUCUAAGCUUCAACAAGAUGCUGUCAAAUAAUAAUAACGGCCAUGCCAAAUUGACAGGAGUUCUUGCUGCUUCCUUAGUGGGUGUCGUCGGUGCCGCUGCUGCGACUCACCACUAUUGGAGAAAACCAAAGGCUAAAAGAGACCACCACAUCAUUCCAGGCUUAGUCAGGACAGAAUCUGGCCGUUUGGGAAACCUUGAAAGAUUCUCCGAUUAUGUUGCUAGGCAGAUGGGAUUUGCAGAUGCAGAUGAGUGUCCACGGCUAUGCAAACUGGCUUAUGAUUAUCUGAAAAGAUCUGAAGGGUGUGAGAAGAACAUCUAUGAUUUUUUUGCUAAUCUACCUGAGUUUGAAUCUCUGUACGUGAAGCUGAUGGAGGAAUUUGAAAAAUGCAUCCUCACUUAUUUUGCGUUUCAUUGGAGCAGAGCAUCCCUGUUUAUCAGUCAGGUUAUGGAUGUUGAAUCCGUGAGGAAACCAAAGCUCAAAGGGUUUGACGACAAUGACUUAAAACAAAGAUUUGAGAGGGUGACCGAGAACUUGAAGGUUACAAGGGCAUUUUCUACUCGAGUUGAGGAAUUGAAAGCAAUCGGCGCCCAAGGGGGAUCAGAUUGUACGGAGGUCAUGGUGCCGGUGGCGCUUAGCGAGAGAAGUCCGGUGCUGCUACUUAUGGGUGGUGGAAUGGGGGCUGGCAAGAGCACUGUCACCAAAGAUAUUCUCAAAGAACCGUUCUGGUCAGGAGCAAGGGCAAAGGCGGUUGUGAUAGAUGCUGAUGCAUUCAAAGAGCCGGAUGUCAUCUACCAAUCAUCAACAGAUGCGGCAUCAUCACUCCUCGUAACUGCCCUGAAUGAAGGACGGGAUGUAAUCAUGGAUGGCACCCUUUCAUGGGAGCCUCUCGUGGAGCAAACAAUUGCCAUGGCUCGUAAUGUGCACAAAUGUCGUUACCGAAUGGGACCAGGGUACCAGGUUGCUGGGGAUGGGACCGUUGAUGAAAAUUACUGGGAAAUGGUAGAGCAAGAGGAAGAAGACCAGCGAUUAAACAACGAGAAAGGAGAAUUAACUGGCAGGAAACCAUACAGAAUAGAGCUGGUUGGAGUUGUCUGUGACCCUUAUCUAGCUGUUGUUAGAGGCAUCAGGAGAGCCAUAACGACAAGAGGGGUAGUGAGGGUGGAUUGCCAGUUAAAGUCCCACAAGAGAUUCGCCAGCGCCUUUGAAAGAUACUGCCACCUUGUUGAUAAUGCCAGGCUUUAUUGCACCAGUUCAGUCGGAGCACCGCCGAGUGUAAGUACGACUCUUCCAUCAGGUUUAUCCGCCAUGCAUCCCGUGCUUCCUAUCUUCUUUCUCGUAGUGACUGGCGCGCACAAAUGCACACCGCCUCAAAUUUCAUGACAGUGUUUGUCAAGCAUGAACGUGGCCCCUCUGAAACAACACAUCGAUUAGGGAAGAGAGUCUGCCAACCACCCUUGAAUUUUUGUCGGGCCACCAUGCUAUUUGAGGCGCUAUCUAUCGAUUGACAUGCCAAGUGUCGAAUUCUAUUGAAAUAAAUUAGACCCAUCACCCAGCUGUCAGUUCUAAGAAACUAGUAAGUUUGAGCUUGGAAGCCGAGGUUGCGGUCCCCUCGAUGCACACUAUUCUGUAUCUCGAGGCCUCGACAAGAAAUGGACCUCGAACACGCUGCAUUAUCUGAUAGCAUGGAAAGAUG